UACCAGCACCCCGAGUUGUCGGGACGAUUAUUGGGCCUAAAGCAUCCGUAGCCUGUUCUGCAAGUCCUCCGUUAAAUCCACCUGCUUAACGGAUGGGCCGCGGGGGAUACUGCAGAGCUAGGAGGCGGGAGAGGCAAACGGUACUCAGUGGGUAGGGGUAAAAUCCAUUGAUCUAUUGAAGACCACCAGUGGCGAAGGCGUUUGCCAGAACGCGCUCGACGGUGAGGGAUGAAAGCUGGGGGAGCAAACCGG
rnacentral:rRNA from 1 species